GACUUCGUGGCCAAGUUGGCUAAGGCGUACGGCUGUUAAGCAAAUGGUACCGUAAGAUCGUGAGUUCGAGCCUCACCGAGGUCG